rnacentral:rRNA from 1 species
GACCCGUCUUGAAACACGGACCAAGGAGCUCAACAUCUGCGCGAGUCACUCGGUCUUGAACAGGCCAGAGAGGCGAAAUAAACAUGAUGGUAUGAUCCUUUCGAGUCUUUCGAGAUGAGAUGGGCGCAAUACCAACCUGCUUCAAGUGCUUAACGGCACUGAAGCGGCGUUUGAGCGUAGAUGUUGAUACCCGAAAGAUGGUGAACUAUACUUGGGCAGGACGAAGCCAGAGGAAACUCUGGUGGAGGUCUGCCGCGGUUCUGACGUGCAAAUCGAUCGUCAGACCUGAGUAUAGGGGCGAAAGACUAAUCGAACCAUCUAGUAGCUGGUUCCCUCCGAAGUUUCCCUCAGGAUAGCUGGAACUUAAUCCUCUGUAGCAUCCGGUAAAGCGAAUGAUUAGAGGUCUUGGGAACGAAACGUUCUCAACCUAUUCUCAAACUUUAAAUGGGUGCAAGUGCUUGGCAUUCUUGAUUUGAAGCCUCGUUGCGUAAGAGUCGUUCCAAGUGGGCCAUUUUUGGUAAGCAGAACUGGCGCUGUGGGAUGAACCAAACGUUGAGUUAAGGCACCCAAUGCCGACGCUCAUGAGACCCCAUGAAAGGUGUUGGUUGCUAUAGACAGCAGGACGGUGGCCAUGGAAGUUGGAAUCCGCUAAGGAGUGUGU